CUCCUCUGUGGGCGAGAGCGGCUGGGGCCAGGUGUGCGGGGACGCGGGCCGGGACUCACCCCCCCCCCCCCCGCGCUCCACCCCCUCCCGGGCUUGUGGGCACCUCUUGACGAUCCAGGGGGUCCGGGAUCCGCGUGGGCUUCAGCUGCGGCGGUAGGAACAGCUCCAGCCGGAUGGCGGCGCGCGCGGACUUCUGCUGCCUGGGAAGGGAAACCGGGGCAGAGCUCAGGAGGACACCUACCCUCUUCCAGGGCAAGUUUGGAGUCUCAGGGGUCCCGCAAGACCGGAGCCAGGUUCUCCCAAACUCUUAAAUUUCUGGGUCCUGGGUCCUCUAUUUCUGUAAUGUAUUUGUUAGUGUCAUCAUAUUUCAUAACUAACUCACUUCUCAGUUUAUUAAUUCUAUAACUCA